AAGACUAUCCUUUGAGGGAUCAUUUCUAUGGUUACUAGAAAAGUUUCUCUGAUCAUGUAGAGCUCCGGAACCCACAAGGAGGAGCCAGAGCAUCCUCUCCUGAGCAUGAAGCCAGUUCUAGGUGCUGCUUUUGCAACUUUUUUUUUAAAUCAUUGAGGAUCAUUCUUUUCUUCCCUUCCUUUGGAAGAGGGAGAAGGAGAGGAAGCAGUUUGAGUGAU